rnacentral:lncRNA from 1 species
AGUUACCAAUGACAGCAGAUGUUGACUUUGAUGCCCUUGCACGUAUGACUGAAGGAUUCAGUGGAGCCGAUCUCCAAGCUCUACUCUCAGAUGCGCAACUUGCAGCAGUCCAUGAAGUUCUAAAUUGUGAAGACAACAGCAAACCUGCAAAAGUUCCAGUCAUUACUGAUGCUCUUUUAAAAUCUGUCGCUUCUAAAGCAAGACCCUCGGUUUCAGAAGCCGAGAAGAGACGAUUGUACUCUAUAUAUAGCCAGUUUAUGGAUUCAAAAAGAUCUGCUGCUGCACAGGUCUCUCACGCUAUCUAUGCAUCUUUGUUCAAUUAAUAUAUUAGUUUAAAAUAUUGGCAUUGUUAAAGUUAGAAUGCUUGUUUGCAGUCCAAAGAUGUGAAGGGCAAAAGGGCAACUCUGGCAUGAGGAACAAGAAGCACCCAGUACAAAGAUUAGAAUAGGCGAACGGAAAAUGGUGUGCGAAUGUCAAGAGCUGUCAUUGCAUGUCCAUUCAAAGGAUUGUAUAUUGAUGUUCUGUAUUAAUGUGUACUAUAUAGUUUUGUGCACAUUUUAUUAUUGGUCGGUUCUGCAUGAAAUGGAAAGGGUUGUACUUGUACAUCAAAGUAGUGGUUAGAUCAUCUCAUAUAAUAAUUUCUGGAAGUCUUGUAAUUCACAAGCUACAAGUGAAUAAGUGCUUUGCUCUUUGUUUCUUCAGUAACUUCUUAGUAGUAUCUUUUUUAGCAGCCAUGCUUUCAAUUCAAACAGGGACGAUCCUAAUUUUUUCCAAGUUUUUUGGCAUUAAAAAAAUACCUGCUAACAGGCAGAAGAUUCUAUGUAGAAGAUGGAUAAACCAACAAUAAAGCCUAGCUACUUAAACAGCAGACAUAACGAAGCAUGCCCCAAGGCGUCAUGCCAAAGUUAGAAAAGCUUUCUUACCCACUGCAUAUUUUAUCAAUAUAAUAAAUAAAAGAUGGAAAUAAAAUUAUUAAAGUUAUAUCAUAUUAUAAAUUAAAAAUCUUAAAUAAACCAUAUAAAUUAUAAUUACGUAAAAUUAUAGUAAUAUAUACGUUUGAUUAAUGAUUGCACAUAUCUCCAAAUUUUAUAUGAAUUAUCGUUAUCCAAAUUUUAUAUAAACCAUCGUUAUCCAUCACGUAUUAAUAAGAAAACAAUAUAAUCUAAGGUAGAAAACUCAGGAAAAUACCCAUGAAUAUUGAUUGAUUUGAGUCUAUUCAUCAACAAUCUUAUCUUUUACUUUUCUAAUUUGUAAAUAAAACUAAAAGAUAAUAGCUAAAUAUUUAACAUUAAACAAUUAAAUUUAUUCGCUCACGUGUCACGUGUAUAAGGUUUGAUCUCUUUAUGAAAAUACCCGAAUCGCAAAUAUUCAAAUAAGGCAGGAAGAAACUGAACUAUUAAAUAAACAAAAUAUCUGACAUCGUAAGUAAAAUAUUUGAUGUUUUUUUCCAACUAAUCCAGAGAACGAGCAAGAUGUUUUCGGCAUUUAUAGAUUUAUACGAUGAAGAUAAAAGACAAUUAAAGAUAAUAUAAACUCGACAUUUUAGAGCAGACAACAUAAAAAUCGGACGAACCAGAUUUGUGUAUGCAGAGGUCGGGUCCAGAGAUUAUUAGGUAAAGAAACGUCACACUAUAUACAAGUNCAUGCGACUGGAAAAAAAAAAAACUCAAAAUAAUUUAUUGCUUCAUCCUUGCUAUGGUUGAAGUCUUCAAAAUUUUUGACCUACUUAGCUUCUUGAACUUUUGUGCAGUUACCAAUGACAGCAGAUGUUGACUUUGAUGCCCUUGCACGUAUGACUGAAGGAUUCAGUGGAGCCGAUCUCCAAGCUCUACUCUCAGAUGCGCAACUUGCAGCAGUCCAUGAAGUUCUAAAUUGUGAAGACAACAGCAAACCUGCAAAAGUUCCAGUCAUUACUGAUGCUCUUUUAAAAUCUGUCGCUUCUAAAGCAAGACCCUCGGUUUCAGAAGCCGAGAAGAGACGAUUGUACUCUAUAUAUAGCCAGUUUAUGGAUUCAAAAAGAUCUGCUGCUGCACAG